GAGUCAGCUGUGUUUCCACUCCCCUCGUCUCCUCUCUGUGGAUUUAGUGUGUGAGUUUUCUGUCAGUCGUUGUCGGGUCUUCUGUUGUGUUUGUGUUUCCUGGUUUCCUGUGUUCAGAGCCCAGAAGCUUCACGUCUUCACAGAAGUGUGGACACACCGAGCUCCGGUUGGACUCAGAUACCAACACACCAGCGCAGACUCAGAGUGGGGUGGUGUUUUUACAACACGUGGAGUCACUGAGCAGCUUCUGCUUCACCCUUUAAAUCUGAUCUCCAAACCACUCAUCACCGCAGCUCUCACCACCAUCCUGAAACCUCCCCUUUCCCUCCUGCUGCUCUCCUGUUACAAAUCAGCCCUGACACUCAUCUCCACCCGCUCCACCCUGCCUGCACUCACUUCUUCAUCUCUCUCUGGAUGGUUGCCUCCAGCAUACCUCCACCUCUCCAGGCUCUCCUCCACCUGCUCCUCUUUCUCGACCUCAUCUGUCAGUGCUGCAAACAAGAAGGAGCUCAGAGCAGAUCCCUGAUGUACUCCCACCUUCAACCCACCUGUCUCUCCUACCACACACGUAAUCAUGCCAUCAGUAUCAGUGCACCUGCUUUCCUCAUCAUCCUCCAACUCUCCAAAAUCAUCGUUAACAGUCUGGUUAAAGUCCACCGCCCCCUCUCCUGGACAUCUCCACACCUCCACAUGUAUGUCACCAGGACCGACCGCCGUCCCACUCGUCAUAGCUGCCCUCUCUUCAUCUUUAUUACUCCUCCACCCGUCCUCCUCUCACUCUCAUUUUCUAUUCAUGAGCUGCUUAGUACUCCUUCCAUCUCCUCCACAGACUCGCUUCCUAUAUCAUAAUCUGGGAUUUUGAAGAAUCUCUGUUUGUUGUUCACCGCUGGCUGAGACUCAGAUUCCUUCCUUUGUCUUUAAUGGAUGCAUGUGGCGCAGCAGCAUUAGCUUCCUAAAUGCAGCGACUCUUCACGCAUUCUGCGUUUACACAUGCUGCAGGUCAGCUGUGAUAUGCAGAUUCCUGAAAACCACCCCUGUCUCUCAACACGUGCCCCACCCUCCAGUACCCCGAGCAGACUGAUGGAGGACGCCUCCCUUACAUCAGAGCACUUAAGGAAAUCC
ensembl:lncRNA